AAUCAGGAGAGACAAGUGUGAAAAAUGGCCGCUGAAUUUUUCUUCUAAGGUUCGUUUACGUUCUGUAUAUCUCCGAAGGAAGUUGUACUAUGGGUUUUUAUCACCUCGGUCGGGUUUGAACACGCGAACCUUGGGUCCAGUGGUAAGCACAUUAACCACUAGUCCACAGAGGGCAACGUGCAACAUCCAUACAUUCCUGCGUUUAUCAAAAAGAAUACAUAUUAAGACUACAGCUUUCUGGAUGCAAAAGCAUAUAACAUAACCUCAAAUAAUAAAAUCACAGAAUACAUUAAAAAUGCAUCUGCUCCAAUAAGAAUAAUAAAUGUAUCUACAAGAACCUGAAGAUGAUCCUAAGUGAUUGAAACAUGUUGCCCAGAGAUGGGUGGCUUCUGCGUUGUUGUGCCGUGCAGUCUGAUAGAAGUUUGCCAACGUUUUAGAGGUCCUUGCUGAGGCAAACUACACAGUGCUAUAACCCAGAAGACAGUCAUCUUCGGAGUCACCGAUGUGAAAACCUCAUAUCCCAGAAUUUAAUUCUACAUUGUUUUAAUAUAAUUAUAUUGUGUGUGACAGAAUCUUUGUUCCUUUAUGUGUUAUAACACCACAGUAGGAUGAAAAAAUGGAUAUCAGAAUUUUCAUUGACCUUUGUUUGAAUCUAUGCCACAAUAUUCAGACACCAAUGCAAAUAGAUUUGCAGUUUAAACAAGGGUUUUUCUGUGAUACUGAUAUUAAGUGAAAGAUAUUGUGGACAAUUAUAUCUGAUGGUUAUAUUUUUAUAUGAAACAUAUUUCAUUGCUUUCUAGCACCUGUUUUAAUUUACUAAUGAUCACAAAUUCUGUGCUCCUUUUGGUAUGUGACAUAACCUACUUUCAUACCAAUAAGAAGCUUCUGAUAUAUUCAAAGGAGCUCAGUGGUAAUGUGAGUUCACUUUCACUGACGGUAUGCUGCAUUUCUACAUGAUGAGGUCCCCUGCGCAUGACGCAGUAAAAGCUGUGUCCAAAUCUUGCUUCUCUCUAAUCAGAAAGCCUUUGUUACUUUUUAGUCUUGUUAUUGGUGUGAUGUAAUAUGUUCCACCCUUAGUUCUCCCCUAAUUUAUUGUCUGCAGAGUGAAGGUUGUUCCCUUCUAUAAAAAACUUAUGCUCUAUUUAUAACUACAAUGAAGCAAAAUCAUUAUUUAGAUUCUGAUGGUUCCUCAGCUGGUAAAGAAAUUCUCUGCAUUUUAUGAAAAUCUAAAGCUCAUUAACAUGCUUACAAAAUGCUGAUGCCAGUCCUUAUCCUGAACAAUCUGAUUCCAGCUCACAUCCCCUGUAUUGUUUACUUAAGAUCCAUUUUAAUAUUAUCAUCCCAUUUACACUCGGAUUUUCUGAGUCGUCUCUUUGGGCAUUCCGACAGCAUUUUGUAUUGUUUUCUUAUCAUAAAGAAUGCUACAUGCCUUGCCCAUCUUACUUUAUUUUAUAAUUCUAUUAAUAUUUGUAGAAGAGUACAAAUUAUGAAUCUCCUCAUUUUGAAAUUGUCUCCAUUCUCCUGUCACAUCAUGCCUCGUAGUUCUCAGGACCCCGUCCGUAAUCACCUCAGUCUGUGUCUUUCUAUAUUUCCCACUUUGAACUCGAUGUAAGAUAUUCGUGGGAAAAUAUAUCCUACUUAUAUAAUGUUAAUACCCACAUUUGAAAAUAUUAAAAUUAUCUCUCAUAGUUUAAGUGUAUGGUCCAAUGGAAAAGAACAUAAGAAAUUUCAUAUCGAAAACAUUCGUGUAUAUAUAAUAGCUGAAAUCUGCCUGUCUGCCUCGCCCUGUUUCUCUCAAACAGCAUAUAAUAAAUAAAUGGUUAAUACAGAAAAAUAUAUCUUUUAUUGGACCACGUGUAGGAAAAUUAUUGACCUCUAACCUCUUUCAAGAGUUAGGCAAAACUUUUCCAAAUCCUUUGUCAAAUAUAUAUAAAGUACCUUGUUUUUC